GAUGAACGCUGGCGGCGUGCCUAAUACAUGCAAGUAGAACGCUGAAGGAAGGAGCUUGCUCUUUCCGGAUGAGUUGCGAACGGGUGAGUAACGCGUAGGUAACCUGCCUGGUAGCGGGGGAUAACUAUGGGAAACGAUAGCUAAUACCGCAUAACAGUAGAUAUUGCAUGAUAUCUACUUAAAAGGUGCAAUUGCACCACUACCAGAUGGACCUGCGUUGUAUUAGCUAGUUGGUGAGGUAACGGCUCACCAAGGCGACGAUACAUAGCCGACCUGAGAGGGUGAUCGGCCACACUGGGACUGAGACACGGCCCAGACUCCUACGGGAGGCAGCAGUAGGGAAUCUUCGGCAAUGGAGGGAAGUCUGACCGAGCAACGCCGCGGGAGUGAAGAAGGGUUUCGGAUCGUAAAGCUCUGUUGUAAGAGAAGAACGAGUGUGGGAGUGGAAAGUUCACACUGUGACGGUAUCUUACCAGAAAGGGACGGCUAACUACGUG
rnacentral:rRNA from 1 species